rnacentral:misc_RNA from 1 species
GCAAACUUGGUCAUUUAGAGGAAGUAAAAGUCGUAACAAGGUUUCCGUAGGUGAACCUGCGGAAGGAUCAUUAAAGAGAUCAACGAGGCAACUCGUUGUAUUUCACACCCUUUGUUAUUUAUUCUAGUUGCUUUGGCGGAGUCAAUCUGCCAAAGGAUAUAUAAACCCUUUUUUGUUAACCAAUAAUGUGGAUUCUUGUCUGAUUAAUGUUACUUUAAUAGUUACAAAACUUUCAACAACGGAUCUCUUGGUUCUGGCAUCGAUGAAGAACGCAGC